UGCGCAGGCGGUUUCUUAAGUCAGAUGUGAAAGCCCCGGGCUUAACCUGGGAACUGCGUUUGAAACUGGGAGACUUGAGUGUGGCAGAGGGGGUGGAAUUCCACGUGUAGCAGUGAAAUGCGUAGAUAUGUGGAGGAACACCGAUGGCGAAGGCAGCCCCCUGGGUUAACACUGACGCUCAUGCACGAAAGCGUGGGGAGCAAACAGGAUUAGAUACCCUGGUAGUCCACGCCCUAAACUAUGUCAACUGGUUGUCGGGGGAUUAACUCCCUUGGUAACGAAGCUAACGCGUGAAGUUGACCGCCUGGGGAGUACGGCCGCAAGGUUAAA
rnacentral:rRNA from 1 species